UCAGGCCUAACACAUGCAAGUCGAACGGCAGCACGGGUGCUUGCACCUGGUGGCGAGUGGCGAACGGGUGAGUAAUACAUCGGAACGUACCUUAUCGUGGGGGAUAACGCAGCGAAAGUUGCGCUAAUACCGCAUACGCCCUGAGGGGGAAAGCGGGGGACCGUAAGGCCUCGCGCGAUUAGAGCGGCCGAUGUCUGAUUAGCUUGUUGGUGAGGUAAAAGCUCACCAAGGCGAUGAUCAGUAGCUGGUCUGAGAGGACGAUCAGCCACACUGGGACUGAGACACGGCCCAGACUCCUACGGGAGGCAGCAGUGGGGAAUUUUGGACAAUGGGGGCAACCCUGAUCCAGCAAUGCCGCGUGAGUGAAGAAGGCCUUCGGGUUGUAAAGCUCUUUGUCAGGGAAGAAACAGCAGCUCUAACACAGUUUGCGA
rnacentral:rRNA from 1 species